rnacentral:rRNA from 1 species
CAUGGGGGAGCUACCAUGCAGUCGAACGUGAUCCGCCCUUCGGGGUGGUGAAAGUGGCGCACGGGUGAGUAACGCGUGGAUAAUCUGCCCGAGGAUUUGGGAUAACAUCUCGAAAGGGGUGCUAAUACCGAAUAAGCCCACGGGGUCUACGGAUCUUGCGGGAAAAGGGGGGGACCUUCGGGCCUCCUGUCCUUGGAUGAGUCUGCGUACCAUUAGCUAGUUGGUGGGGUAAUGGCCUACCAAGGCGACGAUGGUUAGCUGGUCUGAGAGGAUGAUCAGCCACACUGGAACUGAGACACGGUCCAGACUCCUACGGGAGGCAGCAGUGGGGAAUUUUGCGCAAUGGGGGAAACCCUGACGCAGCAACGCCGCGUGGGUGAUGAAGGCCUUCGGGUCGUAAAGCUCUGUCUGGAGGGAAGAAAUGAUUGGGAGCUAAUACCUCUUGAUCUUGACGGUACCUCUGAAGGAAGCACCGGCUAACUCCGUGCCAGCAGCCGCGGUAAUACGGAGGGUGCAAGCGUUGUUCGGAAUUAUUGGGCGUAAAGCGCGUGUAGGCGGUCUUUUAAGUCUGAUGUGAAAGCCCCGGGCUCAACCUGGGAAGUGCAUUGGAAACUGGGAGGCUUGAGUACGGGAGAGGAGAGUGGAAUUCCUAGUGUAGGAGUGAAAUCCGUAGAUAUUAGGAGGAACACCGGUGGCGAAGGCGGCUCUCUGGACCGAUACUGACGCUGAGACGCGAAAGCGUGGGUAGCAAACAGGAUUAGAUACCCUGGUAGUCCACGCCGUAAACGAUGAGUACUAGGUGUUGCGGGUAUUGACCCCU